CGUGCGAUUGGAUUGCACGUCUAAGCAGUAAGGCUGAGUAUUAGGCAAAUCCGGUACUCAUUAAGGCUGAGCUGUGAUGGGGAGAAGACAUUGUGUCUUCGAGUCGUUGAUUUCACACUGCCGAGAAAAGCCUCUAGAUAGAAAAUAGGUGCCCGUACCGCAAACCGACACAGGUAGUCAAGAUGAGAAUUCUAAGGUGAGCGAGCGAACUCUCGUUAAGGAACUCGGCAAAAUGACCCCGUAACUUCGGGAGAAGGGGUGCUCUUUAGGGUUAACGCCCAGAAGAGCCGCAGUGAAUAGGCCCAAGCGACUGUUUAUCAAAAACACAGGUCUCUGCUAAACCGUAAGGUGAUGUAUAGGGGCUGACGCCUGCCCGGUGCUGGAAGGUUAAGAGGAGUGGUUAGCUUCUGCGAAGCUACGAAUCGAAGCCCCAGUAAACGGCGGCCGUAACUAUAACGGUCCUAAGGUAGCGAAAUUCCUUGUCGGGUAAGUUCCGACCCGCACGAAAGGCGUAACGAUUUGGGCACUGUCUCAACGAGAGACUCGGUGAAAUCAUAGUACCUGUGAAGAUGCAGGUUACCCGCGACAGGACGGAAAGACCCCGUGGAGCUUUACUGUAGCCUGAUAUUGAAAUUCGGCACAGCUUGUACAGGAUAGGUAGGAGCCUUUGAAACGUGAGCGCUAGCUUACGUGGAGGCGCUGGUGGGAUACUACCCUAGCUGUGUUGGCUUUCUAACCCGCACCACUUAUCGUGGUGGGAGACAGUGUCAGGCGGGCAGUUUGACUGGGGCGGUCGCCUCCUAAAAGGUAACGGAGGCGCUCAAAGGUUCCCUCAGAAUGGUUGGAAAUCAUUCAUAGAGUGUAAAGGCAUAAGGGAGCUUGACUGCGAGACCUACAAGUCGAGCAGGGUCGAAAGACGGACUUAGUGAUCCGGUGGUUCCGCAUGGAAGGGCCAUCGCUCAACGGAUAAAAGCUACCCCGGGGAUAACAGGCUUAUCUCCCCCAAGAGUUCACAUCGACGGGGAGGUUUGGCACCUCGAUGUCGGCUCAUCGCAUCCUGGGGCUGUAGUCGGUCCCAAGGGUUGGGCUGUUCGCCCAUUAAAGCGGUACGCGAGCUGGGUUCAGAACGUCGUGAGACAGUUCGGUCCCUAUCCGUCGUGGGCGUAGGAAAUUUGAGAGGAGCUGUCCUUAGUACGAGAGGACCGGGAUGGACAUACCUCUGGUGUACCAGUUGUCGUGCCAACGGCAUAGCUGGGUAGCUAUGUGUGGACGGGAUAAGUGCUGAAAGCAUCUAAGCAUGAAGCCCCCCUCAAGAUGAGAUUUCCCAACUUCGGUUAUAAGAUCCCUCAAAGAUGAUGAGGUUAAUAGGUUCGAGGUGGAAGCAUGGUGACAUGUGGAGCUGACGAAUACUAA
rnacentral:rRNA from 1 species